GGAUAGUUAUAAGGAAAGCUGCUAACUUUUUUUUAGUGGAAACUACUAGAUA
rnacentral:tRNA from 1 species